UCGCUCGGGUUUCUCUUCAUCUCGCACAAAUCUUUCGCCUUUUACUAAAGAUUUCCGUGGAGGGGAACAGCCCCGAGUUCACGGUAUUUUUGAAGCUCUGCUUCGGCGAGGAGCU